CCCCAGGACAUGUGCCAGGCCCGCCCCUGCCUGCUCUCUGCCCCCCCCCCGGUGCCAGAGCAUGAAGCUCCGCCACUGGUCCCAGGUAUGAAGAAGUCAGAGGUUUCUACAGGAACACGCCUCUCUUGAUUUCAGCCAGGCAAGUUCAAACAUACAUUCCAGCCAUCCAAGCUGAAAACUCUUGAGGAGGGUGUGAAGCAAGGGCAGUGACAGUUGUGACGGGGGAGGCUAGAGGGCUAGAAAGGCAUACAGAGGCAUGUUUGCUCCCCAACCCUGAGGUUGAGCACCCUUGCAUUAGAGACUCUGCUCAAUGCACAGCUGAAGGUUAAUGCUGUGUUCAUCUACGAGGUGUACCACUAAUGCUGUUGAUGGUAGUGAUUAAUCAACGGUAUAAUGACACCUAGUGACAAAAUAGAAGCACUAAUAUUACCCAUAUAUGUCCUGAUCCAGAUUAUGUCUGUGAUACACCAUAAGGCACAAUUGAAGCGCAUUCUUUCCAUCAGAGUAUUCUGGGCAGAGUUGCAAUUCCCAGCAACAAACUGCAGUGCCCAGAAUUCCUUUUGGGGGUGGGGAUGUGUUUCAAAUGUGUGUUCAAGGUAUAGUUUAUAUGCAGCCUUAGUAGUGUGAAUUAUGUGUGAUUAGUGGCACUAAAUAUGGGCGGAGCUGCUCAUGCGCACCAGAAUGCACUUAACAACAAAAGCAGCAACUUCCAGAAUAAUAUGGUUUUUAGGGGCUUCUCAUCCACAAAUCCUUAUGCCGCUAUACCUCUGCUGGUCUUUAAGGUUCCACAGAACUCUUCUUUGCUUACAUUGUUGAGAGUGACAUAGUGGUUAUAAACAUCCACACACAGAAACACAUUUUGAUGAAUAUUCAGCCCCUGGUUUUGCAUUCACCUACCAGUGCUCCCCCCCUCCCCCAAAAGAAACCCCAGGUUGGAUAGAACUGGGCAUAAGGAAGGCUUUAGAUAAUUAUCCACCCUGGUGGAACAACAGCGCGUCAGAAAUUGAACCUGGCAAACUGCUGCGGCAUUCACUCUCGCCACGGUGCAGAAAAUAAACUCCUGUCUCCCCUGAGGCAUGGGAGACGGCAUUACAUAAAUAUUUGCAGAUGAAACAAGAAUGCCAGAGUGAUCAAAUGAAGGGAAAAGGGAAAGCUCUCCUCACCUAUAGCAGCUAGUUAAGUCUCGGAGAAGCAGCUGUUUCACUGAUCCCUAUAGCCUCAGCACGGAUGACGCUGGAGUCAGACGCUACGACGACCCCCCCCUUCCUUCCCUCCCUCCCUGCCUGCCUCUCACACACAUCCCCUCUCUUCUCUACUGUAACUUUACCAGGGUAACAGAAUUGUAGAUGCUUCUGCUGGCAGAAGAGUGAGUCAGAGCAGCUAAUGACUGAGAGCAAGCUGGUAACUGAUGCGCUCUCUCUCUCUCUCUCCCUCUCCCUCUCUCCAUCCCUGCUCCACCUCCCCUCUCAAUCUUUCUCCCCCCCCCUUCUUUAAAUCAGAAACACUAACUAAGCCAUUACUGGCUGCAUACUGUAGUAGAGAGCUUCUCAGAUCCUAUUGCUGCUGUUAUGAGGAUUGACUGUGGAAGAGGAGCUUUGGGGUUGCAAUCCAGUGUAUUCAGAGCUUCCCUACCAUAAGUGUGAGUCUGUGCAUUUAGGAAUAUCUUCCAGAUCCCCAGAAAUCAUGUCAGUAGGAUCACAUUCGUUCUCCCCAGGAGGCCCUAAUGGGAUUAUUAGAAGUCAAUCCUUUGCUGGCUUCAGUGGUCUCCAGGAAAGAAGAUCCAGGUGUAACUCCUUUAUUGAAAAUUCCUCUGCGCUCAAGAAACCCCAGGCAAAAGUGAAGAAGAUGCACAAUCUGGGGCACAAGAGUAACAGCGCUGCUAAAGAGCCUCAGCCUGAAAGGAUGGAGGAGGUUUACAGGGCCUUGAAGAAUGGACUGGAUGAGUAUCUGGAAGUGCAUCAAACAGAGCUAGAUAAGUUGACUGCUCAGCUAAAGGACAUGAAAAGAAACUCACGGCUGGGGGUGCUGUAUGAUCUAGACAAGCAAAUGAAAGCAAUUGAAAGAUAUAUGAGAAAGCUGGAGUUUCACAUCAGCAAGGUUGAUGAACUGUUUGAAGCUUAUUGUAUCCAAAGACGGCUCCGCGAUGGUGCCAGCAAAAUGAAGCAAGCAUUUGGGUUGUCCCCUGCCAGUAGGGCAGCUCGGGAGAGUUUGACAGAAAUCAACAAAAGCUACAAAGAAUACACCGAGAACAUGUGUACUAUUGAAGGAGAGUUGGAAAAUCUAAUGGGGGAGUUCUGCAUUAAGAUGAAAGGUCUGGCUGGUUUUGCUCGACUUUGCCCUGGAGACCAGUAUGAGAUUUUCAUGAGGUAUGGCCGUCAGAGAUGGAAACUGAAAGGCAAAAUAGAAGUCAAUGGCAAGCAAAGCUGGGAUGGAGAAGAAAUGGUCUUCCUCCCUCUUAUCGUUGGGUUGAUCUCCAUUAAGGUCACAGAAGUUAAGGGCCUUGCUACUCACAUCCUGGUGGGAAGUGUUACCUGUGAGACAAAGGAGUUGUUUGCUGCUCAGCCUCAAGUUGUUGCUGUGGACAUCAAUGACCUCGGCACAAUAAAGCUGAACCUGGAGAUCACCUGGCACCCAUUUGAUGUUGAGGACUUGACCCCAUCUGCAGGCAACACAAACAAAGCAUCUGCUCUCCAAAGGAGAGUGUCCAUGUAUAGCCAAGGCACUCCAGAAACCCCGACCUUCAAGGAUCACUCAUUCUUUUCAAAUUCACCUGAUGACGUCUUUGAAAAUGGGACUGCAGAAAAUGAUAAAAGGGCAAUGUCGUUCAGCUUCAGUGAUAUUCCCAAUGGAGAUUGCACUCAGUCAUCAAGUUUUGUGGGUUCCUGCGCCAUAGAUAACCCUAACCCUGAAAUUACUGUCACGCCCCCAGAACACAAUGGGCAGAAGUUAUCAAAAACUCACACCAUGGACAAUAUCAGUACAAGCUCAUCUGUAGACUCUACACCUGAAUCCAGAGACUUAAAACCACAAGAGCAUGUGCUAGUGAAUGAGGAAAAUAAGAUUUCGUGCACAGAUUCUGAAGUUUGCCAAAAGUCUCUAGGUUCAAGAAGCAGCAACCUGUUCUUAGAUAAUAGUGCCCAGGUAUCACUUCUGCAGGACACAGAUGAGUUGUCAGAGCUCAAACCUGUGGAACUGGAUACUUUUGAAGGCAACAUCACAAAGCAGCUGGUUAAAAGACUCACUUCAGGAGAAUGCCCAGUGACACCUGAAAAGCUGCACUGUGAGGGGUCAAUAAGUGGUGAAUCGGAGGGCUAUAAAUCUUGUGUUGACGGAAGCCUAGAAGAAGCAUUUCAGGGACUUAUUCUAGCACUUGAACCUCAUAAAGAACAAUUUAAAGAAUUUCAGGAUUUGGACCAAGAAGUAACACACCUAGACGAAAUCCUAAAAUGCAGACCAGCAAUCAGUCACAGCAGGUCAUCCAGUUUAAGCCUAACCGUUGAGAGUGCACUGGAAAGUUUUGAUUUCCUCAACACCUCUGACUUUGAAGAUGAUGGUGGUAGUGACGAGCUUUGCAAUGGUGGUCGAGGCACUGACUGUGUAUUCUCAGAUACUGAAGUUGAGAAAAACAGCAUGAACAGUUACAGGUCAGAACACCCAGAAGCCAGGGGGCAUCUCAGCGAAGCAUUGACAGAAGACACAGGAGUUGGUACCAGUGUCGCUGGGAGCCCUCUUCCGUUGACCACGGGGAACGAAAGCCUUGAUAUCACCAUAGUCAAGCACUUACAGUACUGCACACAGCUUAUUCAGCAAAUUGUAUUCUCCAGUAAAACUCCCUUUGUGACAAGAAACCUCCUUGAUAAGCUGUCGCAGCAGGUUCUAGUGAUUGAGAGUCUUGCAGAGAUCAGCAAUGAGAACACAGGGAACAUCAGACCUGUAAGCGAAGCAAUUCCGGAACUCCAGAAAAGCGUCUCUCUGCUUUCCUUCUGGAGUAAAUGUACCAAUCCUUCUGGGUUCUACCACAUCUCUGCUGACAAGAUGAUCAAACAACUGGAUGCCAUGUUUGCUACAACGCUGAAUGACGAGUGUCCAGGACUUGCAGAAACAGUGUUCAAAACCUUGGUAUCACAUAUCUUGGACCGAGCGGAGCCUGUCCUCUCUUCUAGUCUGCCCUUGGAAAUCAUAACAGUUUUCCAGUAUUACAACUAUUUUGCCAACAAAAAUGUCCACGAUCUGGCAAAUUAUUUGCAUCAGCUUGCAAGAGAAGCCUUGAUGGUGCAGACUCUACAGUCCUUAAGAGAUGAAAAGUUCUUGCAGAAUAAAGCCACGUUAACCUCCUUCAGCCUCCCACCUCAGCAAGAAGUACUGAAAUCCUUGGCUCUCCUCCUCCUGACUGAAAACAAAAGGGAGACCCAUGAGGCUGUGGCAUCCUUGUUGUCGGCUGCAGCAGAAGACAAGCACUUCAGGGAAAAGGCUUUAAUUUAUUACUGUGAAACCCUUGCACAGCCCAGCCUCCACCUGCAGAAGGCAGCUUGUCUGGCCCUGAAAUGCCUCCAGGCAACUGAAAGUAUUAAAAUGCUAGUCACGCUUUGCCAGUCUGACAAUGAAGAGAUCAGGAAGAUAGCCUCUGAAACCCUUCUUUCUCUUGGAGAAGAUGGGCGGUUGGCAUAUGAGCAGCUAGAUAAAUUCCCUCGUGAAUUUGUUAAGGUUGGUGUACGACGUGGGACUGAGGUAGCCACAGCCUUUUAAGAGUUUAACCUGCAUAUUAACACAACAGCUUCAGAGGCUGGUCUUCUUUAACCACAACGGUGCUGUAGCUGAACUGCAAGAAGAUUCACAGAUGUUCAAAGAAAAUGAAUGAAUUUGAAGGCUUUUAGUUUUGAGGGCUUCGCUCUGUAACUUAUAAUGAAAACAGUGAUUUGUCAAAGAUUGCAGUUGCUUUGCUUUUGAGUGAAACUAGGUCACUGCCAUACAGUCAGCCUCGGCAAAUACAACAGAAGUUUUGUAAUCAUAAAUGAGGUAUUUUUGUAUAUGGUGGGUUUUCUGUGGAUAUUAUUGCAUCAGUUUAAAACUUUGUGAUGCUUCCUCUAAAUCGGUGGAAAGGAAAAAGCAAACCGAGUAGGACUUUUAACAGCAGUUCUGACUCCCAUCUGUGCUGUGCCUCAGUUGCCUUCAAGUAUCUCCUGCCUUGUUUUUGUUAUUAGUAGCACCAUUUAGUAUGACCAAUCUUCAGAUGACGGGCCUGACUCUGGAAACAGCAGGAUGCAAACUCCAGGUUUCAGUAAUUCUCUGCCUCAUUUCCUAUUUCCCCUCUUGCUCUUUUCUGGCUUCCAGUAAUGACCUCUAAUAAAUCCCAAAUGAUUUAAACAAACAAACAAACACACUCUCAAGCAGUUGUGCAGGUUGUAAAAAACAAAUAGGUGUUUUCCUUUUUUCCAGAAAGGGCAUAUGGCCACAUUAUACUUUUACAUGAAAACCCCUAGAUUUAAUCUUCCUUUCGCCUUCCUUGACAUUUCAAAAAAGAAUGAGGUUUUGUGCAUUUGUAGCUGGGAGCUACAAUGAUUGAGUUGUUCACACACACACUCCCUUAUCUGCAACAAUCAGGGUGACAGACAGCAUGCUAUGAUGCUAGUUUUCUUAGAAGUAAAUCCCACUGUGUGCAAUGUUGGUUACUCCCAAGUUAGUAUGCAUGGAUUGUAACUUGAAGGUGUUUUAUUGAUGUCCUCAUCACUCAACAAACUUUGAAGCAGCUCAUAGCUCUUCAACCAUUGGGCACUCAUCCUUGGAGACAUGCAGAUUGUGAACUGCUGGUUGUUGGGUUUUUUAAAAAUAAAUCUAACAGAAGUCUUUCCCCGCAUUUUUGCCAAAAUGCAUUGGCAAGCCAGUAUUCUUAAUUGUAAUGUUACAACGCUGUAUAUACCUGUAUAUUAUAAAUUAUAAAUAUUCUCUGAUUAAAAACUGUACAGUCACUCAAAGGUUUUACUGAAGGGGAAAAAAAUCUCUUUUAUGAAAUGUGAAAUAAGUAAUUGUGCUCUGGUUUUUACAGCACAUUGCUGCCACAAGCCUACAGUCUUUCAUUGUCGUCUUUUGUAUUGAUUUUUGGCUUACAGUUGCCUUCUAGGUUUGUGGUAUUUGUAUUUCUCAUAUAUACUGCUCCUGUUUAAGUUAUAAUAAAGAUUAUUUUUGAAUUACUAAAUAGCAUUGUUUUUACUUUGGUUGACUUACUUUCUUCCACCAGUGCUAGACAUGGACUUCCAACUUAAUCAAGAUGGUGUUCUGAGGGGGGGGGAGCAAGUAACCUCAAAUGGCAAUAUGUCCAGUUUGUUGGGGAAAUGGUGGGAGAGGUGGUAUUGGGAUUUGCCAGCCUCC